rnacentral:rRNA from 1 species
AGAGUUUGAUCAUGGCUCAGAUUGAACGCUGGCGGCAGGCUUAACACAUGCAAGUCGAACGGUAACAGAGAAUAGCUUGCUAUUUUGCUGACGAGUGGCGGACGGGUGAGUAAUGCUUGGGAAUUUGCCUUAUGGUGGGGGACAACAGUUGGAAACGACUGCUAAUACCGCAUAAUCUCUUCGGAGCAAAGCAGGGGACCUUCGGGCCUUGCGCCAUAAGAUGAGCCCAAGUGGGAUUAGCUAGUUGGUAAGGUAAUGGCUUACCAAGGCGACGAUCCCUAGCUGGUCUUAGAGGAUGACCAGCCACACUGGAACUGAGACACGGUCCAGACUCCUACGGGAGGCAGCAGUGGGGAAUAUUGCACAAUGGAGGAAACUCUGAUGCAGCCAUGCCGCGUGUGUGAAGAAGGCUUUCGGGUUGUAAAGCACUUUCAGCGAGGAGGAAAGGGUAAUAGUUAAUAACUAUUAUCUGUGACGUUACUCGCAGAAGAAGCACCGGCUAACUCCGUGCCAGCAGCCGCGGUAAUACGGAGGGUGCGAGCGUUAAUCGGAAUUACUGGGCGUAAAGCGCAUGCAGGCGGUUUGUUAAGCGAGAUGUGAAAGCCCCGGGCUCAACCUGGGAACUGCAUUUCGAACUGGCAAACUAGAGUUCUUGAGAGGGUGGUAGAAUUUCAGGUGUAGCGGUGAAAUGCGUAGAGAUCUGAAGGAAUACCAGUGGCGAAGGCGGCCACCUGGCAAGUAACUGACGCUCAGAUGCGAAAGCGUGGGUAGCAAACGGGAUUAGAUACCCCGGUAGUCCACGCCGUAAACGAUGUCUACUCGGAGUUUGGUUCCUAAUCCUUUAGUAUCGUAGCUAACGCGAUAAGUUCUCCGACUGGGGAGUUCGGCCACAAGGUUAAAACUCAAAUGAAUUGACGGGGGCCCGCACAAGCGGUGGAGCAUGUGGUUUAAUUCGAUGCAACGCGAAGAACCUUACCUGGCCUUGACAUCCUUGGAAUUUCGCAGAAACGUGAAAGUGCCUUCGGGAGCCAAGAGACAGGUGCUGCAUGGCUGUCGUCAGCUCGUGUCGUGAGAUGUUGGGUUAAGUCCCGCAACGAGCGCAACCCCUAUCUCUAGUUGCCAGCGAUUCGGUCGGGAACUCUAGAGAGACUGCCGGUGAUAAACCGGAGGAAGGUGAGGAUGACGUCAAGUCAUCAUGGCCCUUAUGGCUAGGGCUACACACGUGCUACAAUGGGGCGUACAGAGUGUUGCGAUACCGCGAGGUGGAGCCAAUCACUUAAAGCGUCUCUCAGUUCGGAUUGGAGUCUGCAACUCGACUCCAUGAAGCUGGAAUCACUAGUAAUCGUAGAUCAGCAAUGCUACGGUGAAUACGUUCCCGGGUCUUGUACUCACCGCCCGUCACACCAUGGGAGUUGAUUUCACCCGAAAUUGGGAAGCUAACCUUCGGGAGGCUACCACUUACGGUGGAAUUAGCGACUGGGGUGAAGUCGAAACAAGGUAACCGU